rnacentral:rRNA from 1 species
CGGAUUCAUUGGGCGGAAAGGGCAAGGAGGCGGUGCCCAAAGUUGGGCGGGACAUCUCCCGGCUCAACUGGGAGGGAGCGUUCAAAACUAGGGGACUAGAGGGCAGGAGAGGGAAGUGGAAUUCCCAGUGUAGCGGUGGAAUGCUCAGAUAUUGGGAAGAACACCAGUGGCGAAGGCGGCUUCCUGGCCUGCACCUGACGCUGAGAGGCGAAAGCUAGGGGAGCGAACGGG